rnacentral:rRNA from 1 species
CAAAGGGUCGCGAACCCGCGAGGGGGAGCCAAUCCCAAAAAGCCGCUCUCAGUUCGGAUUGCAGGCUGCAACUCGCCUGCAUGAAGCCGGAAUCGCUAGUAAUCGCGGAUCAGCAUGCCGCGGUGAAUACCGGUUCCCGGGCCUU